ACAAACUUGGUCAUUUAGAGGAAGUAAAAGUCGUAACAAGGUCUCCGUUGGUGAACCAGCGGAGGGAUCAUUACAGAGUUAACUUCUACUCUUAAACCCAUGUGAACUUACCACUUUGUUGCCUCGGCGGCAGAAAGGUCACUAGACUUCUUCCCUUUAGGGUUGUUGUUUAGGGGCUGGGCCGCCGGUGGACCAUCUAAACUCUUGUUUUACUUGAAUCUCUGAGGAAAUUUAUAAUGAAUCAAAACUUUCAACAACGGAUCUCUUGGUUCUGGCAUCGAUGAAGAACGCAGC
rnacentral:misc_RNA from 1 species